rnacentral:rRNA from 1 species
GACAGAGGUCCCAAGCGUUAGGCGGAAUCACUGGGCUUAAAGCGUGUGUAGGCGGAUCCGUAAGUACCUUGUGAAAUCCCACGGCUCAACCGUGGAACUGCUGGGUAUACUGCGGGUCUUGAGCCACCUAGGGGCGAGCGGAACAAGUGGUGGAGCGGUGAAAUGCGUAGAUAUCGUGUGGAACGCCGAUGGUGAAAACAGGUCGCUGGGGCUGUGCUGACGCUGAGACGCGAAAGCCAGGGGAGCGAACGGG